GACAAACGCUGGCGGCGUGCUUAACACAUGCAAGUCGAACGGAAAGGCCCUUCGGGGUACUCGAGUGGCGAACGGGUGAGUAACACGUGGGUGAUCUGCCCUGCACUUUGGGAUAAGCCUGGGAAACUGGGUCUAAUACCGAAUAGGACCACGCUCUUCAUGGGGUGUGGUGGAAAGCUUUUGCGGUGUGGGAUGGGCCCGCGGCCUAUCAGCUUGUUGGUGGGGUAAUGGCCUACCAAGGCGCCGACGGGUAGCCGGCCUGAGAGGGUGACCGGCCACACUGGGACUGAGAUACGGCCCAGACUCCUACGGGAGGCAGCAGUGGGGAAUAUUGCACAAUGGGCGCAAGCCUGAUGCAGCGACGCCGCGUGAGGGAUGACGGCCUUCGGGUUGUAAACCUCUUUCAGUACCGACGAAGCGCAAGUGACGGUAGGUACAGAAGAAGGACCGGCCAACUACGUGCCAGCAGCCGCAGUAAAAC
rnacentral:rRNA from 1 species